UGGUCAAGUUAUUAAGGGUGCAGGGCGGAUGCCUUGGCACUAGGAGCCGAUGAAGGACGUGAUAAGCUGCGAUAAGCUUCGGGGAGUUGCACGUAAACUUUGAUCCGAAGAUUUCCGAAUGAGGAAACUCACUUAGAGUAAUGUCUAAGUAUCAUUAAGUGAAUACAUAGCUUAAGGAGGGGAACUCAGGGAACUGAAACAUCUAAGUACCUGAAGGAAGAGAAAGAAAUUCGAUUCCGUAAGUAGCGGCGAGCGAACGCGGAUUAGCCCAAAC
rnacentral:rRNA from 1 species